AUACGUAGGUCCCGAGCGUUGUCCGGAUUUAUUGGGCGUAAAGCGAGCGCAGGCGGUUUAAUAAGUCUGAAGUUAAAGGCAGUGGCUUAACCAUUGUUCGCUUUGGAAACUGUUAGACUUGAGUGCAGAAGGGGAGAGUGGAAUUCCAUGUGGAGCGGGGAAAUGCGUAGAUAUAUGGAGGAACACCGGUGGCGAAAGCGGCUCUCUGGUCUGUAACUGACGCUGAGGCUCGAAAGCGUGGGGAGCAAACAGGAUUAGAUACCCUGGUAGUCCACGCCGUAAACGAUGAGUGCUAGGUGUUAGGCCCUUUCCGGGGCUUAGUGCCGCAGCUAACGCAUUAAGCACUCCGCCUGGGGAGUACGACCGCAAGGUUGAAACUCAAAGGAAUUGACGGGG
rnacentral:rRNA from 1 species